UAGUGAGAUGAUGCUCAACCAUCUUUCGGGACUGACCUGUCAUGGAGAUGCUUUCUGUUCACCUGAUCACUA